rnacentral:rRNA from 1 species
AGAGUUUGAUCAUGGCUCAGAACGUACGCUGGCGGCACGCCUAACACAUGCAAGUCGAACGAAGUAGCAAUACUUAGUGGCAGACGGGUGAGUAACAUGUAGGUAUCUGCCCUUUGGCCUGGAAUAACACGAGGAAACUUGUGCUAAUACCGGAUAAGUCUUUACGGAGAAAGCUUUAUGCACCAUUGGAUGAGCCUGCACUUGAUUAGUUUGUUGGUGGGGUAAUGGCCUACCAAGACUGUGAUCAAUAGCUGAUUUGAGAGGAUGAUCAGCCACAUUGGGACUGAGACACGGCCCAAACUCCUACGGGAGGCAGCAGUGGGGAAUCGUGCACAAUGGAGGAAACUCUGAUGCAGCGAUGCCGCGUGAG